GCUCUGUCCUCCAUUCCUACCCUGCUUGCACACUCACACACUAGAUAACUGACGGUCUCUCCCUCCCUCCCUCUCGUUCCCUCCUUCUCCUUUUUGCCUAUUUCUUUUUUCUCUGCCACACCACCAAUACUUUUUUUCCUGGUUUGCAGUGUUUUUAUGCUUUAGCUACAGUAUAUAGAAACCGGUUAUGUGCUGCUACCGUGAGUGCUAUCCCAUUCACAGAUCCAGCAGCAGCGUAGCUUAUCUCUGGACAGACUGCUUUUGCGCUGCUGCUCUUCUGCUUUGUUUUCCCACUUGUCUGCUUUUUUAACUAAACCUUUUCUUUUGAUAACCCUCUUGUUUUUUUCCAAAAACUAAUCUGCCAAGCAGAGAAAGAAACAGAUGGAAAUCUGUCUUUGCGAAAGGGGAGAUGAGGAAGCAGAAAAGUAGAGAGCUGGAAGUGAACGGGUAACAGGACUGAAGACAAGACUGGGUCUAGGCUGCAAGACGAGAGGAAAAGCAGUAAAGAGAGGAAGAAAUGAAGGACAGAGGGGUGAUCGAGGAGGAAUCAGAAAAAAAUUGCUGGAAAAGAGGAAAAUGGCCAUACCCAUCUGACAUCUGCUGGGAAAGGCUAUGACCAGAAGUUGAAGGAGAUCCUAAAUGCUGAGAUCAUGCCAAUCGUUGAGGAGUUUGACAAAAACCAGAAUAAUGACACAGUAUAUGACGAGAGGUUACAAACAGCUGCAGACAAUUUCAUUGCGGCUGCCUCCAAACUGCCUAGAGCUUCUGGAUGUUUCCCUCCAUGUGGCUUUCAAGCAUCUGGCUAUGUCUACAACUGCAUCACUUGCCAGUAUGAUUCCUGUGAGUUCCCACUGGACUGUCCAGGCUUCAACUCCAUGCAGAAGAAACUUUCAACAGUCCUUCCUGCUCCCUUCUAAUCAACCCGGCAGCUUGGAUACUUCUAUCUAGCUGCCUGACUUUGCAUUAUAUGCAACAUGAUGGCGUGUCGUCAUGAUUUGAAAGAUACAUUUUUGGAAGUGAUCUUACAUGGUGGAAUGAACUGGAGUGAGCUACUGUACAAGUUGUAGCUUAAUAUUUAAGAUGUUCUUGCCCGAUGAAAUACAUUCAAAUAUGGAUUUAAAUAUGGAUUUACAUGUAUAUAAAUAAGUUCAUUCUGUUGACUUGUGCCCUGCUUAUUGUUAAACUAAGAGUAGCUAUGGGAAAUUAAUUGUUACUGCUUGUAAAUGUGUGUUAAUGUUAUUGUUUGGAAUGUUAUGGGCUAUAUCAUAGAGGUUUGUCGUAUUGUGACACAAUGGCAUGUGGGUAAUAUGUAGUUAUCCUGAUGCAACUAGGAUUUGUCCGUAAAUCCGACGCUCAAUUCAAUGCAUGUAAUUCUGUUUGCCGGACCUUUUCGUAGUUAUUCUGACUAAACUAGGAAUUCGUCCACUUGAUUAUAGGGGCCUACGAUGUUAUUUAAUGCAUUUAUUUAUUAGUAUUUAUUCACACUUACUAAGAAGCACAUUCUUUUCUUUGUCAUUCUUUAAGCAUAUCCAAGUGAGGAUGAAUGACUUAGAGCACAGUACAUGUACGCUAUUAUAGUAACCUUCAUACGGAACUUCUAUUUUUCAAACACUACAUGCCACGUAAACAAGAGGAUUAAUGUGCUUUGGUCGGGGUCGAGGGAAAAUGUGUAAAGAGCUGGGAUCAAGGGUUUCCCUCAGGACCGCACCAGCAGUGCCCCCUCCAGGUCCACGCUAUGUUACAAAAUGUGUUGACUUAUGCAUUCACGUAUUGAGGCAUAGGUAAGCAUUUGUAUGCAUAUGGGACGCAGAGCUUAAGAGAUUGUGCUGGUAUAGAUGCCGGAUAAUACCCUACUUGUCUCCAAAAUAACUAGUUACCUAGUUAAACUAGGUAAUAAAUUCAGAGUGGAUUUAAAAAUGAAAUCACAGCUAUGCCCCUUCACUGGAUCUCCUGUAAGGUGCCAGUUAAGAUGUCCCAGACUGCCACUGUCUGCUGCCCUAUGAUGGCAGCUUCACCAUCAGGUGUGGCCCAAGCAUUUCUCUCCUUGAUUUGGAUUUCAGUAUGUGUGCCUGUGUACUUGUGUGCAUGUUUGGGCGUUACGGUGUCUACAGUCAAGGAACUCACAGUCAUAGAGAACAACCGGACACGGAUGAGGUGUGACGUUCCCUUUCCUCUGCCUUAUGAGAUUGAGGUGGUCUGGAGGUUUGCAGAAGAGAUCAAGACCCAGCAGAUGGAUCAGUUUGAGGAGGUGACCUCAGGGACAGACAGGAUGUACUCUAUCCCCUCAGCUGGUCUGCAGCACCAAGGUACAUACCAGUGUGAGAUCUACUCAGACCGGCGCUCCUUGGUCAGACUCUACUACUACCUCAGAGUCAUCCCUCAGGUGGUGGGGGGCCAUAUUGAGCUACAGGAGAUAUUUGACCUGUCUCUGCUUCCAGGGGGAAGGAUUAUCCCCAAGCCUGCUGGAAUGUCCCUCGCGCUCCUCCGCCUCCCCUCUCCUCCUCUCCUCACUGCCUGUCUGACCUCCCUGCUGAUGCUACUCUUCAUUUCUCUUGGGUAAUGGAACAGGGCUGUAUUGUACCAUUACUGUAUAUGCAGUCUGCACUGCUCUCAUCCACAGCUCAACAGUUAGUUAUACAGUGAACAUACACAAACAUGUAGAUACCCUUGGCAGUAGUGGAAUCCCUGCCUCCCGUGGAGAUGGAGAUAUUCUACAGUAUAUUAAGUAAAUUAAAUACAUUUAAGUAAAAUGUAAUGUUUAACCAGCCUCUUCAGGCCUUCAUGCUUUACUAAAACCAUGUUGCUUUGAUGACAUUGAAUUGCUCUUCUUAAGUGCUGCUAAUCAACAAUGUUUGAAUCUGAAUGUAAAAUGAGAUUAAUGUGUUACACCUCAUACAUCUUAGUCUCUAGAUUUCAUAUAGAGUCUUACAUGGAUCAGUGAUGAACAUGUUUUUAAAUGAAAAACAACUAGUAAUACAAGUUAGUAAUACAAAAUUACAUCACAUAAAAAUGUAAUGGCAUAC
ensembl:lncRNA